rnacentral:rRNA from 1 species
CGGGCUGCCUACACAUGCAGUCGAGCGGCAGCAUGCUCACUGAAUUUUUCAAAUCGCGGAGAUUUUCGCGAAUAAAUUGGAAGGUUUUGUGAGUGAUGGCGAGCGGCGGACGGCUGAGUAACGCGUGGGAAUGCGCCCCAAAGUGAGGGAUAACGCACCGAAAGGUGUGCUAAUACCGCAUAUGGUCUUCGGAUUAAAGUUUUAACGCUUUGGGAGUAGCCCGCGUAGGAUUAGAUAGUUGGUGAGGUAAUGGCUCACCAAGUCAGCGAUCCUUAACUGGUUUGAGAGAAUGAUCAGUCAGACUGGAACUGAGAACGGUCCAGACUCCUACGGGAGGCAGCAGUGAGGAAUCUUCCACAAUGGGCGAAAGCCUGAUGGAGCAAUGCCGCGUGCAGGAUGAAGGCCUUCGGGUCGUAAACUGCUUUUAUUAGAGAAGAAUAUGACGGUAACUAAUGAAUAAGGGUCGGCUAACUACGUGCCAGCAGCCGCGGUCAUACGUAGGACCCAAGCGUUAUCCGGAGUGACUGGGCGUAAAGAGUUGCGUAGGCGGCGCGUCAAGCGAGUAAUGAAAUUUAUCGGCUCAACUGGUAAACUAUUAUUCGAACUGGCGUGCUCGAGAGUAUCAGAGGUCGCUGGAAUUUCUUGUGUAGCAGUGAAAUGCGUAGAUAUAAGAAGGAACACCAAUGGCGUAGGCAGGCGACUGGGAUAUUUCUGACGCUAAGGCACGAAAGCGUGGGGAGCGAACCGGAUUAGAUACCCGGGUAGUCCACGCCGUAAACGAUGAAUGUUAACUGUCGGGGGUAUCGACCCCUUCGGUAGUAAAGCUAACGCGUUAAACAUUCCGCCUGUGGAGUACGGCCGCAAGGCUAAAACAUAAAGGAAUUGACGGGGACCCGCACAAGCGGUGGAGCGUGUCUUAUCG